CAACUUUAACAAUCAGUAAAAAAUAACUUAUUCAGCUAAGUUCAGUUCUGAUAAAAUGAAAAAAGUGCUUUUUUAUUUGUUUGUUUGAAUUCCCAGGAAUCAAUCACCCAAUCAGUCAACAAGGAAGUGAUGUUCAGUCUCGUGAAUAGCUCCAACUCUUCAGCUCUCCAGAUUUUCCUGUCCCUUAAUGGUUUCUGCAAUGACGUUUUUGGCAGAAGCUUCCAAUUCUCCGUUGAACUGGUCACCCAACAUCCGAAGGCGACCAGCAAUGAUAGCCACAUCAAAAGAACAAGGCUCUCCUGAAUCUACUUCAUCUACACAGCAUAGGUUCCGGCUGGCAACCUGCAAUGUUGGGCUCAAGAAGUCCAUGAG
rnacentral:lncRNA from 1 species